CAAGUUUGCUCUUUUGAGUGACAAGUGUCAACGAAUUUCUUUUCGUUUAGUAAAAUUGUGAUAAUUGUUAAAAAAAAUCGGUUAUAAUUGUUGUAAAUUAAAGUGAGCAGUAAUGGCAGUUGCACCUAACCUCACUUUGGUAUUGGGGGUCCCCCAAGUGUUAGAAACCGUGCUACUCACCUAUUUUGUUGAUAAGAUCUAUACACUGCGAGAUGUGGGGAAACUGCAGAAUCUUCCUCCACUUCUUACUCUUGCCUUUAUUACUAUCGGAACCACCUGCAGAAGAAGAAGAAAAUGGUUUUCGAAUUCGCAUCCCUAGAAUGUGUGUGGACUCACCCUCUCUCGCUUUUAGAUAGACUGUGUUGGCGACGAUAUUUUCCAAUUCCAUGAGUUCCAGUUUGGUGGUUGUUUUUACCCGGCGGGUCGGGCCGUAAACGACCCGUUUCCAUUAAUUAUGGGGGUGGUUGGGGGUCGGGCUGAUGCACUUGCACCCUCGAUGCGCACCCAAGGGGAUGCUGCCGCCGCUUCGGGGUGUGUCUGCAACCCUCGGAAUGCCACCCUGACGCACUCGACGACGACUUUCUCUGCAAAUUUCACCGACUUUACUACCGACACGCGUCGUCUGUCUAUCUAUCUACCGAACGCGACACCACCACUAGGACGAAAAGAGAACUACGGAGAGGUUCACACGAGGAGGUGAUGCGGCGGUGACCGACGGGUGGGGGACGAGGGCUUUUUCGAAACGAUCGAUUUUCAAAUGUAACACGAAAAAUUUCAACAUUGAAUGGAAGAGUUAAACAAAAAAUUAAACAUGAAACAUCAU